rnacentral:ncRNA from 2 species
CUCUUAUUCAGAGUGAUGGAGAUACAUAGGAUCUGUGAAGUCACGGCAACCCCGUUUCCGAGAGGGACAGGAAGGUGCCAACCUGAGCGAGCAAUCGAACAAUAAGGG